rnacentral:lncRNA from 1 species
CGUGCCCAGCCAGGCCGGACCGGAGGAAUUCCCUAAAGAACACUCCGCUGCCCCGAGGCCACUCCUCCGGUCCCGCCCUUUCCGUCCCUCCUCAGCUAGCAUACAGCCCCUACCGAAGCGAUCCCGGGGGUGAUGUAGUCCGCCACACACCGGCUUCCCGCCACUUCCUUCAAACUACACUGAGCUGCUUGGAAUAAGGCGGCGACACCGGCUCCUCAGAAUCAACUGCGACCUGCCUCUGCGAACGAACGCAAAGGCGGGAUGGAUCGCACUCCUGAUUGGCUAGCCGUGGGUCGAAAGGGGCACUGCGAUUGGCAAAAGGAAGGAGACAAGGAGGGAAAGCUAGCUGUGGCCGGCAGGGAUUGGCGGAAGGAGCUGGUACUUUCUCUCUGCGUUGGUAGGCGGAGAAGUAAGGAUGGGCCGACGCAGAGGCGCAACUCUUGAUUGGUGGGUGAGCGGCCCCAAGGCGCCAGCGAUUGCAGUUGGAAUUGAUCACACCUUUUCAGUUAUACUUCAAUCCUGAAUUAAUUUUUAAGCACUUUCAAAUCUGGAGGCUAAUCACCAAUUUCUUAUUUUUUGGUCCAGUUGGAUUCAAUUUUUUGUUUAACAUGAUUUUUCUAUAUCGUUAUUGUCGAAUGCUAGAAGAAGGCUCCUUCCGAGGUCGGACAGCAGACUUUGUAUUUAUGUUCCUUUUUGGUGGAUUUUUAAUGACUCUUUUUGGUUUGUUUGUGAGCUUAGUUUUUUUAGGCCAGGCCUUUACAAUAAUGCUGGUCUACGUGUGGAGCCGACGGA